GACGAACGCUGGCGGCGUGCUUAACACAUGCAAGUCGAACGGAAAGGCCCUGCUUUUGUGGGGUGCUCGAUAGGCGAACGGGUGAGUAACACGUGAGUAACCUGCCCUUGACUUUGGGAUAACUUCAGGAAACUGGGGCGAAUACCGGAUAGGAGCUCCUGCUGCAUGGUGGUGGUUGGAAAGUUUCGGCGGUGGUGGCUGGACUCGCGGCUUAUCAGCUUGUUGGUGGGGUAGUGGCUUACCAAGGCUUUGACGGGUAGCCGGCCUGAGAGGUUGACCGGCCACAUUGGGACUGAGAUACGGCCCAGACGCCUACGGGAGGCAGCAGUGGGGAAUAUUGCACAAUGGGCGGAAGCCUGAUGCAGCGACGCCGCGUGCGGGAUGAUGGCCUUCGGGUGGUAAACCGCUUUCGCCUGUGACGAAGCGUGCGUGACGGUAAUGGGUAAAGAAGCACCGGCUAACUACGUG
rnacentral:rRNA from 1 species